ACACAGUGGGUUGGACGGAUACAUCAGAUUAAUGUUAGAUGUUAACUAUUUAAGAUAUUGUGCCAUCAGAGGGAUUUUUGCCAGAGAUAUUGUGCUAUUCCUGAAUAGGUUACUAUAAAUCACGGGCCGUCUCAUAAAAGCACAGAGGUUUUUAAGGGGUGUCUUCCUUACUUCAGUGAAAUGAUGUGUGAAAUUGGGAUUUUCCACACAGGCAGAGUCCUAAAUCUGCCGAGGAAUACCAGUGAUGAGUCAAACCAGCUCCCCAUCCAGUGGCUCACCACACCAGGCAUCUAUCACAGAUGGAAACCCGGAGGUUUGCUGCCUGCUCAUUCCGGGCCAGUCGGAGCUGCAAGUGAUCAGACGGCCGAACGCAUCACGGCUGUGUUUUCUCAGCCGGAGAGUCGUUCCGUGAUUUUUACUGGACCUCAAACUCACACGAAGAACAUAGACUUGAAGCCUGAAUAAACUCCUAAAGUGCAUUAA